GGCUGGGGCUCAGUGGAAGAGUGCUUGCCUAGCACGCAUGAAGUGCUGGGUUGGAUCCUCAGCACCA
rnacentral:tRNA from 1 species